rnacentral:rRNA from 1 species
UGGGGAAUAUUGGACAAUGGGGGAAACCCUGAUCCAGCAAUGCCGCGUGUGUGAAGAAGGCCUGAGGGUUGUAAAGCACUUUCAGUGGGGAGGAGGAUAUAUAGGUUAAGAGCUAAUAUAUUGGACGUUACCCACAGAAGAAGCACCGGCUAACUCCGUGCCAGCAGCCGCGGUAAUACGGAGGGUGCAAGCGUUAAUCGGAAUUACUGGGCGUAAAGGGUGCGUAGGUGGUGAAUUAAGUUAUCUGUGAAAUACCUGGGCUUAACCUGGGCAGGUCAGAUAAUACUGAUACACUCGAGUAUAGGAGAGGGUAGUGGAAUUUCCGGUGUAGCGGUGAAAUGCGUAGAGAUCGGAAGGAACACCAGUGGCGAAGGCGGCUACCUGGCCUAAUACUGACACUGAGGCACGAAAGCGUGGGGAGCAAACAGGAUUAGAUACCCCCGUAGUCC